UACGAAGGGGGCUAGCGUUGUUCGGAAUUACUGGGCGUAAAGCGCACGUAGGCGGAUACUUAAGUCAGGGGUGAAAUCCCGGGGCUCAACCCCGGAACUGCCUUUGAUACUGGGUAUCUCGAGUCCGGAAGAGGUGAGUGGAAGUUCCGAGUGUCAGAGGUGAAAUUCGAUAGAUAUUCGGUAGGAACACCAGUGGCGAAGG
rnacentral:rRNA from 1 species